UCGACCUGAGCUCAGGCAAGAUUACCCGCUGAACUUAAGCAUAUCAAUAAGCGGAGGAAAAGAAACUAACAAGGAUUCCCCUAGUAACGGCGAGCGAACCGGGAAUAGCCCAACUUGGAAAUCUCCCUCGGAGAAUUGUAGUCUAUAGAAGCGCCCUCUGCAGCGGCCGGGUCCCAAGUCCCCUGGAAGGGGGCGUCGUAGAGGGUGAGAACCCCGUCGGACCUUGGUGCGGCUGCCUCACGAGGUGCUUUCGAAGAGUCGGGUUGUUUGGGAAUGCAGCCCAAAGCUGGUGGUAAAUCCCAUCUAAGGCUAAAUAUUGGCGAGAGACCGAUAGCGAACAAGUACCGCGAGGGAAAGAUGAAAAGAACUUUGAAAAGAGAGUUAAAAAGUGCUUGAAAUUGUUGAGGGGGAAGCGAUUGGCAGCUGCGUGUGCACCCAGGCUUACGCCGUUCUAACGAUCGGCUGCAUGCGCUGGGUGUUGGUCAGCAUGGGUUGGCUUGGCAGGAUAAACGCGGGGGUUGUUACCUCGUCUAUGCUGCCGGGCCGACCGAGGCGUGAAGGCCGCUCUUGUCCCUCGGGAUCUGCGGCCUCGAGAUGCUGGCGGAAGGCUUUCAAUCGGCCCGUCUUGAAACACGGACCAAGGAGUCUAACAUGUAUGCGAGCUGGUGGGUGGUAAACCCAUGAGGCGCAAGUAACCUGACUUUGGUGGGAUGGCCGCAAGGCCUGCACCAUCGACCGACCGUGAUCUUCUGUGAAAGGUUCGAGUACGAGCAUACCUGUUGGGACCCGAAAGAUGGUGAACUAUGCCUGAGCAGGGCGAAGCCAGAGGAAACUCUGGUGGAGGCUCGUAGAUGUGCUGACGUGCAAAUCGCUUUUCGGACUUGGGUAUAGGGGCGAAAGACUAAUCGAACCAUCUAGUAGCUGGUUCCCUCCGAAGUUUCCCCCAGGAUAGCUGGAGCUUGUGUGUCAGUUUUAUCGGGUAAAGCUAAUGAUUAGAGGUUCGGGGGAUGAAACAUCUUCCACCUAUUCUCAAACUUUAAAUAGGUAAGACGUGUGAGUUGCUUAACUGAACUCACGCAUUCAAUGAGAGCUCCAAGUGGGCCAUUUUUGGUAAGCAGAACUGGCGAUGCGGGAUGAACCGAUAGUUGGGUUAAGGUGCCGGACUACGCGCUAACCUAGAUCCCACAAAGGGUGUUGAUUGAUACAGACAGCAGGACGGUGGUCAUGGAAGUCGAAAUCCGCUAAGGAGUGUGUAACAACUCACCUGCCGAAUCAAUUAGCCCCGAAAAUGGAUGGCGCUGAAGCGCGUGACCUAUACCCGGCCAUGGGGGCAAGUGCGAGGCUCCCAUGAGUAGGAGGGCGUGGGUGUCGCUGCGCAGCAUGGGGCGUGAGCCCGUGUGAAGCGGCACCUAGUGCAGAUCUUGGUGGUAGUAGCAAAUAUUCAAAUGAGAACUUUGAAGACUGAAGGGGAGAAA
rnacentral:rRNA from 1 species